AUUAAAAAUUAAUAAUAAGCCGCCUAGCUACCCAAAAAGAAGAGGUAGGGUCUGUGAGAACAUGAACUUUUCGCCCCUCCCUUGCUGUACAAUGGUUCCCGGAACAUUCUUGCAUGAAAAGUUUCCUGGAACAGCCACAAUGACCCAUAGCCUCCGGCCACAAUGGUCCAAUGGCCCUGAAAAUGUCACUACCCCUAAUCACAAUGUCACAAAGUCCUGGGUGUGUUGCCUAGUGUUACACAUGACUAGCAUAUGACCUAAAUGUAUGGGCAGUUUGUGGUUUUGGAAUUCCCCUCCUCCCUCCCUCUUGAUCCCCCUGGUUUAUGGUUUUUUCCUUUAUAAGCUCUGUGAAAAUUCAGGUCGGGGUCGAACUCCUCUACUCCCUGUGUGGCGUAUGAGUCUCGACCCCAGCAUGCUGGCCUGAGCUCUCAUUUCAUCUCGCUCACAAUAAAUCUUCCUCGUGUGAUUACAGCAGGUCGGUGUCUGUGUCCUACUGGGUGCGCGUCUUUCCCGAGACUUGAGUGGGGGGCUCCCUUCGGGGGUCUUUCAUUUGGGGGCUCGUCCGGGAUCUGCGCGACCACCCAGGGGUCCUAGACCCACUUGGAGUUAAGAUUCUCUGUUUUAUCUCAGCGCUGUGUCUGGGUCUGUGUCUAUGUUCUGUCUGGGAAUCUGGUGCGAUCGCUGUUUCGGUUUUGCGGACGCUCAGUGAGACCGCGCUCCAGGAAGGAGAGCGGGGUGGAUAGGGAUAGACGUGUCCAGGUACCCACCGUCCGUUCGCCCUGGGAGACGUCCCAGGAGGACAAGGGGGGACCAGGGACGCCUGGUGAACCCCAUCUGAUAGGUCCAGAGGAGACUUUACUCCUUGACGACCGGUUUGUUAGGCAAGGUCUGCGACCUGCCGAUCAGUUUCAGUGCCUCUGGUCGACACGAAGUCGACGUCGGUUUUGUUUUUUUUUUUUUUUUUUUUCUCUUUUGUUUGUGCUCGUGUGUGUGAGUGUGUGUGAAUUAAGUCCUGUAGUCUGUGUUUUUCGGUACCGGUUUAAGGUCUUAGUGCACUGUCUGGGCAGAUGAAGGAUUCCUGCCCUGUGCACGAGAGUCUUAGUGCACUGUCUGGGCAGAAGAAGGUUUCCUGCCCUGUGCAUGGGUGGAAGAAGGUUCCCCACCCCGAAAUGGCGCCUGUGAGUAGAUGAAGGAUUCCUACUCCGAAUAGUCUUUUUCUUUCUUUUUUUCCUUUUUAGAAAGCUCACUGGGGGACGCCCCAAUCGAGCAGGCUCUGGGACGCGUGAGAGACGUUCCUCGAGCCAGCCUUUGUCGGGUCCUGGCUCUGGGACGCGUGAGAGACGUUCCACGAGCCGAAUUUUGUUGGGAGGACCCGGCAACGGACAGUCAAAAAGAUCUGACUGUGACUUGACUUUGGAGGUUGCGUUCGGCUGCCUAUUUAAGUAUAGGCACGGACAAGUGUGCUUAGAUGUGUUAGUGUCUGUUGUCUGUAUUCUGUUUCUGUGUUUGGUAUCCCGGAAGCAGCUAAGGUUAAGCUGCAGUUUGGGCCAGGUACUGAAGGUACCAGGCAUCUGUGGAAAUUGGUUAUAGGAUGCUUUGUCUUGGUCUUGUUUGUCUGGAUUGUUUUCUGUGGUAUUGUCCAGUGUCUUUUUGACUUCUUUUCGUGUUUGAAUUUGGACUGACGACCGUGUUUAAAAUCUUGGACUGACGACUGUGUUUGAAAUCAUGAAACUGUUUGCUUUGUUCGUUGAAGAGUUUUACUUGGUCCCCUUAAUGCUUAGUGAGUAAGAAACUUAAUCUUAUGGACCCCGCUCUAGUGGCGGUGUGUUGGUUGAUAGCCAAAGUUAAUUUUUAAAAUAGUGUUUUAUCUGUGCUUGUGCUCGCAGCACACAGUAGAGGGGAGCGAAAUUAGCUGCGGAGCUGCUGCAGCGAGCAUGGGGACUUCUCAAGUCUCACCCAAUUUUUCUGGCUCUUCAGGAGCUGUUUAAAAGGAAAAGGCUUAAGGUAAAAAGAAACACUAUAGAGAGAUUUCUUAGUGAAUUACUACACCUUGCUUCGCGAUCUCUGGGAAUCUCAUGGUGGACAGCUGAGAUAAGCUGGAAAAGGAUUUAAAUUUUGCUUGGGAGCAAAGAAUCUUAAAGGCGGAGUUUCAGCCGGUAUGACACUUAGUGCGUAGCUGCCUAAAAGAUCAGAAAUACUGUUAAUAGGCUAUAAAAAAGGGACAGGCUGUGUUAGAAAUGCUACAGGAAGAAUAAUCUAAAAAGGCUGAGAGCUAGGUGGGGCUAUAAGGAAUUUCUGACUUUUGCUCACAGUAGGAGAGAGCUCAUUUAGAGAAGUUCUUUAAGGAAGCCUGCCUUAUCUGCUGUCUUUAUUCCAAGGGAGGAGUCAGUCUCCAGCACUAAAUUACUUGGAGGUAGCCAAGGUCAGGAUUAAUGUUUUCUUUUCCAUGGGCCUUUAAACCCAGUGAGACAGUUUGGUAAAGGGCUACUACUGAGGUCCUGAUAGCCCCAGGUGAACUGGUUACAAUUCUUUUAUCAGCCCCCUGGCAUCUAGCACCCAGGUUCUAACCAUCUCUCCAUCCUUUUGUUAUUAGUUGUUACUAGAAGCCUAGUGUCAUUUGGAGGCUGGUUCUCUUGAGAGGCAAAGCCAUGGAGCUGACACUGACAAUGGCCUUUUUGUUCCAAGAAAGGCCUCCUGGUUUAGCUGUGUGACUAAAUGCUGUUUGCCCUCUUCGGUAGACUCUAUUCUCAAGAUUCUCUUGUUUUCUCACCAUCCCAUUUGAUAUGCUUGUUAGUAACUGUUACAGGUCUUCUUUACCACUGAGGAAAGACGGAAUCCUACUAGAGGCCAAAAAAAAAAAAAAGGGUUCCAACACGCAUAGAAGGCCCUCACUUCUGCCUGCUCUCUUCAAUACGCCUGAAGGUAGGGAGUGCUCCAGGUCUGCCCCCAGGCUCCAAGGGUGGGUCUCCUAGGGGCUGGAAAAUGCCCCACCAAUCUGGCUAAGAUAAAGUUACAGAAACUUGAAGGGUUAAGCUAAGUCGCUGAGAGAGUUAUUGUAAGUUGAUGCAUGGUUCAGGGUCUGUGCAGAAAAGUGGACAGCACCUAAUAGCUGUAGAAGAAGAUGCAGAGAGACAGAAAAAAAAAGAAAGAAAGAAAGAAAGAAAGAAAGAAAGAAAGAAAGAAAGAGGUAAAGAGUGCAGGAAGCUAGGGAAGAAAAGAGACUAAAAGAAGAGGAAGCUAGAGAGCUAAAGAGAGAUAAAAGACAAGAGAGGAACAUAUACUGGCCACAGUAGUUAGGGAACCUAGGAAGACAGUACCUGGCAACAGAAGAGAAUUCCUGGCUAAAGAUCAGUGUGCCUAAUGCAAAGAAAAAAAAAGACACUGGGUCAGGGACUGCCCCAGAAAGAACAAGAGGGGACACUGGAGAGCCUCUUGGUCCUAGAGUGCUGGCUAUGUACAGAGAUAGAAGGGAAGUGUGGAUGCAGGGACCCAAUGCUCUGUGCUCCUAUGCCCCCCUCCAGUGGGCCAAUAUCCAAAGACCUUGGGUACAGGGGCCUACUGGCAACAAACAAUACUUAUGGACUGCCCGAAGAACAGUGGACCUUGGCGUGGGCCGGGUAACCCACUAGUUCAUAGUCAUCCCUGACUGCCCCUAUCCCUUGCUCAUGAGAAAAUUGCUCUCCAAAAUGGCUUGCGUGGGCUGAAAUGGCUGGGUGAGGCCAUGUGUAUGCAUAUCUACAGACUGUGUAUGUGGAGCUUAAGACCUGUCUCAGUGCACCAGUACCUGAUGCUGGGAGAUGAAUGGCUUAGCGCUGUUCUACUUGGAACAUAUCACUCCUGCCAGCCGGGCACUAACAAUUAUCACCCAAUCCAGGACUUAAACUGUGAUAGAGUGGCUGAUGUUUGCCUUUGAAUAGAGUGUCCCAAAAGAUGGGACCACUGGUCAGCUGCCAUGGACUAGAUUCUCCACCGGUUGGGGACAAUCUGGUCACCUUGCUGCCCAAUCCGGACCUGGAGCCACCACAGCACGAGUGUCAAGUACUGGCAAAAGCCCAUGGGUGGAGGAAAGACCUCUGCGACUGGCUGAUUGACCCCUGCUGAAAGCCGAGGACCUUGUCCACAGACGGGAACAGUUCUCUUCAUGAAUGAAGUACAUCAGCACUGCAGAUGCCUUUACCAUCUCUUGGAUGCCCUGGUGAAGCCAACAACUGUGAGUACUAUUCAUUGCUCAGGAUAUCAGGAGGGAAGAGAUUCAGUGACAUGGGGCAAUAACGAAGCAGAUAAAGUGGCUCGAAAAAUGGUUAUGCAGGAGCCCAUCCUGGUUGCAGGCCUGCAAGAGACAGCCACUGGGAACUGGGAUCGGACUAAGGGAUGGCCUCACUUAGAAAAGGCCCAAAUUGCUUAAAAGAUAAAGGACAAUGGCACACUUGUGGGGAAAGCUAUACUUCCCAGAGAACAAAGAAAAGACUCACUUUGCCAAAUACAGAAAUGGACUCAAUUAGGAGAUAAAAAGUUUGUCCAAGUAGUUAAGUGUAUGUAAUAGACUUUAAGAUUUUAGCCAGAGAGACAGUAGAAAGUAUAAGGUAUGUCAAUAAGUGAAUGCUUAGCAAGCAAACAGGGCAAAGAGACCUAGAGAGUUUGGUGAAAAGUCGAAGUGAACUUCACUGAGAUAAAACCAGAAAAAUAUAAUCACAAGUAUCUCCUAGUGCUUGUAGAUACUUUUUCAGGAAUAGAUAGAAGCUUUCCUCACCAAACAAGAGACGGCCUCUGCAAUCAUCAAGAAGAUACUGGAAGAAAUCUUCCUCCGAUUUGGAAUGCCCAAGGUAAUCUGGUCAGACAACGGCCCUACUUUCGUUGCCAAGGUAAGCCAGGGUGUGGCCAAGUAUUUAGAGGUCGAUUGGAAAUUACAUUGUAUUUACAGACCUCAAAGUUCAGGACAGGUAGGGUAAAUAAAUGGAACUCUAAAAGAGACCCUGACCAAAUUAACCAUGGAGACUGGCACAGACUGGGUGACACUCCUUCCCUCUUGCUCUCUUCAGAGCAAGAAAUACCCCUUCCAGAUUCAGCCUUACCCCCUUUGCGAUCUUAUAUGGGGCCUCAGCCCCCCUGACUGUAUUAGAUGAUGUUACUGAACCAACAUGUCAUAGUGCCAUAGUAAUAAUGAUUUGUGUGCCAGGCUAAAAGACCUACAGGUGAUACAGAAAGAAAUCUGCUCACAGCUGACAGCAGCCUAUGCCCCGGAGACCCCUGAGACAUCCCAUCAGUUCCAGGUUGCAGCUACACUGAGUCCAGACACUCGAGCCUCGCUGGAAAGGACCGUACCUGGUGCUGCUGACCACCCUGACAGCUGUCAAUUCUCAGCCCUCACCAGCCGUGUACUAGCUGUUGGGGCUGAGAGCUGGGACCUAGAGGGAAAUUCAGUCAUGUUUGUCCUGGGUUCUAUCAAGAUAGGUGUGGGAUAGGCUUGAUUUCCAUUACAAAUGAUGUAACAUUGCAUAUGUUAGUACUCUUAACACUUCUUGGGACUGUGCCUCAGGGAUCACAGUCCGUAUAAGCUUAGAAGUUCUAAAAGCUAGUCAUGACCUUGGUGGAUAGGCUUGGAUAGUGUCCAGGUUAGAAUCCUCAUGUUAAGACUACAAUACCAAGCUGUUAUGCUAGAUGAAGCUGAGUUCUCCAUGAAGUUCUAGGAUUAGAACUAUUAACAAAAAAAGAAGAAGUGGGGAAUGAAGGAUUAAAAAUUAAUAAUAAGCCGCCUAGCUACCCAAAAAGAAGAGGUAGGGUCUGUGAGAACAUGAACUUUUCGCCCCUCCCUUGCUGUACAAUGGUUCCCGGAACAUUCUUGCAUGAAAAGUUUCCUGGAACAGCCACAAUGACCCAUAGCCUCCGGCCACAAUGGUCCAAUGGCCCUGAAAAUGUCACUACCCCUAAUCACAAUGUCACAAAGUCCUGGGUGUGUUGCCUAGUGUUACACAUGACUAGCAUAUGACCUAAAUGUAUGGGCAGUUUGUGGUUUUGGAAUUCCCCUCCUCCCUCCCUCUUGAUCCCCCUGGUUUGUGGUUUUUUCCUUUAUAAGCUCUGUGAAAAUUCAGGUCGGGGUCGAACUCCUCUACUCCCUGUGUGGCGUAUGAGUCUCGACCCCAGCAUGCUGGCCUGAGCUCUCGUUUCAUCUCGCUCACAAUAAAUCUUCCUCGUGUGAUUACAGC